GCAUCUGAAGUCUGACGAGGAUGAGAACCUCCGGAGGCAAGAGGUUCGACCCGAGCGAAGCGAGAGAACGUUGCGUCAGCAACGGCCCGCAGUGGCAAGUCAUCCUCUGUCACCGGCAG
rnacentral:sRNA from 3 species